UACGUAGGCAGCAAGCGUUGUUCGGAGUUACUGGGCGUAAAGGGUGCGUAGGCGGCUUUUUAAGUUUGGUGUGAAAUCUCCCGGCUCAACUGGGAGGGUGCGCCGAAUACUGAGAGGCUAGAGUGCGGGAGAGGAAAGUGGAAUUCCUGGUGUAGCGGUGAAAAUGCGUAGAUAUCAGGAGGAACACCGGUGGUGUAAACGGCUUUCUGGACCGUAACUGACGCUGAGGCACGAAAGCGUGGGUAGCAAACAGG
rnacentral:rRNA from 1 species